rfam:Rattus norvegicus chromosome 9, whole genome shotgun sequence.
GGGGAUUUAGCUCAGUGGUAGAGCGCUUGCCUAGCAAGCGCAAGGCCCUAGGUUCAGUCCCCA